rnacentral:lncRNA from 1 species
GAGAAAAAGUUAAAGGGCCCUGAACCCCUUUUUAUCGAAGUGUAGAUAGACAUUUGAAGUGAAAAUAGGCUAUUUCAGAAUCACUUUGCCGCAAAAAGUACUUGAAAUGCUAGUUCAGUAGAAGCGGAGCUACUGCAAUCAAACACGGCCUCCGCUGUGCUUCCCUUCCUCCUUCAAUG